UUAAAAUUUGAAACAAAUAAAUCAGUUAAUCCAAUAUCAUAUUUCAUAACUUGUGUUGCUUGCAACUAUGUUGUAUGUACAGCCUACCAGAGAUGGAUGAUGAAUUGCAGCUCUAACUUGAAAGUCCCCACUUUGGACUAUGUCUUGGAUUGAGAGAUUGUCGGACCUGGAUGCUUCUGUGGCUACCUGCACUUAGCAUCACCUGACAUCAUCUCACCAUAUCCAUAAGUCA
rnacentral:lncRNA from 1 species